GAUGAACGCUAGCGACAGGCCUAACACAUGCAAGGUCGAGGGGCAGCACAUGAGUAAGCAAUACGAUGGUGGCGACCGGCGCACGGGUGAGUAACACGUAUGCAACCUGCCUGUAAGAGGGGAAUAACCCGGAGAAAUUCGGACUAAUACCGCAUAAUACCACGAGACUGCAUGGUUUUGUGGUUAAACAUUUAUGGCUUACAGAUGGGCAUGCGUAUGAUUAGAUAGUUGGUAGGGUAACGGCCUACCAAGUCUACGAUCAUUAGGGGUUCUGAGAGGAAGGUCCCCCACACUGGUACUGAGACACGGACCAGACUCCUACGGGAGGCAGCAGUGAGGAAUAUUGGUCAAUGGGCGAGAGCCUGAACCAGCCAAGUCGCGUGAAGGAAGAAGGUUCUAUGGAUUGUAAACUUCUUUUGCAGGGGAAUAAAGGACGGUACGUGUACUGUUUUGUAUGUACCUUGCGAAUAAGGAUCGGCUAACUCCGUG
rnacentral:rRNA from 1 species